UGCUACCCCAACGUAUUGUAACGCACGUGUCAUGUGCUCCUGAUAUUACUUAAGGAUUUAGAAGACUCAACAAUUCUACAACACCUUGAUUGACACCUACUUAUUCGAUUCAAAUUCACCAUGCUGCCCGGUGGUAAACCUUCAACCUCAAAGGAAUCCGAAGCUGCUGCGAUAUCAGUUAUUAGAUCACGGAGUGAUAUUGAUCCUCUUAUAACAAUAACUAUACUGGAUGUCUUGUGAUCGGCUAUGACACAGAAUGGAACCUGUUGACACGAUAUUACCCAACUCCUAAAUUCUAUUGAAUGAUUUGACCAGAUAUUGAAUCAUGAUAAGGAACUGAUAUCAAUGAUCAUCUGAAAUCAUUGGACGAACCUCACAAAGAUGAUUUCUGAAUGAUGCAUACAGUAUGUCCUCC